rnacentral:rRNA from 1 species
UACGGGGGGAGCAAGCGUUGUUCGGAUUUACUGGGCGUAAAGGGCGCGUAGGCGGUCAGCACAAGUCAGUUGUGAAAUCUCCGAGCUUAACUCGGAAAGGUCAACUGAUACUGUGCGACUAGAGUGCGGAAGGGGCAACUGGAAUUCUUGGUGUAGCGGUGAAAUGCGUAGAUAUCAGGAAGAACACCCGUGGCGAAAGCGGCUCUCUGGAACGGUACUGACGCUGAGACGCGAAAGCGUGGGGAGCGAACAGG